AUUGAACGCUGGCGGCAGGCCUAACACAUGCAAGUCGAACGGUAGCACAGAGAGCUUGCUCUCGGGUGACGAGUGGCGGACGGGUGAGUAACGUCUGGGAAACUGCCCGAUGGAGGGGGAUAACUACUGGAAACGGUAGCUAAUACCGCAUAACGUCGCAAGACCAAAGUGGGGGACCUUCGGGCCUCACACCAUCGGAUGUGCCCAGGUGGGAUUAGCUAGUAGGUGGGGUAAUGGCUCACCUAGGCGACGAUCCCUAGCUGGUCUGAGAGGAUGACCAGCCACACUGGAACUGAGACACGGUCCAGACUCCUACGGGAGGCAGCAGUGGGGAAUAUUGCACAAUGGGCGCAAGCCUGAUGCAGCCAUGCCGCGUGUAUGAAGAAGGCCUUCGGGUUGUAAAGUGCUUUCAGCGGGGAGGAAGGCGGUGAAGUUAAUAGCUUCACCGAUUGACGUUACCCGCAGAAGAAGCACCGGCUAACUCCGUGCCAGCAGCCGCGUAA
rnacentral:rRNA from 1 species